UCCACUCCCCACUCUUUCCUCCACUCCCACACACUCUCCUCCUAUCUCUCCCCACGAAAUUGCUGCUCCACCAAGGCUCCAUGGCCGGCCAUGGCCAUGAGAGCACACCAAACCGCAGCUCUCCUUCUCUCUCAAGCUCCCCCUCCCCAUGAGAGCAUUCCUCUCACUCUCUUCUUCCCCAACCCUAGCUGGUUUCCUCUCCUCUUCUUCUUGCUCCAUUGCUAAGAUUGGAUCUUGAUGCAGGUGCAUGUUGGUCCAAGCAUGGAGAAGGUUGAGCUAUCCUCAGAUCUGAAUUUCUUGAGCAAAGUUCGUCCAAAACCUUGCAGUAAUUUCUGUAUCUUGCUGUUUCAGAUUCUGAUACGAACUUGUAAAAUCAGCCAAAUCUUGUGUGCAGAUCCAAAUCGAGUGAUUCAAAGUUCCGCAGAUAGGUAUUGAAAAGAUAUACAACUUGGCGUUGGUCUCAUCCUCAAAUUCGUUACGGAUUUUGCACGGGGAUGUUUCGUUUAUACCAUGGUGAUAACCGAGAGAGGCAAUUGCUAAGUUGUGAUACUCUCAUACCUUUACUAGAUGCGAACAAUUCCGGAGAAGAAGAAGAAGUGGAAUCGGACAAGGAUUGUAUUUAUGUUGUUGGGAUUCUUAUAUUGAUGGAGUUGAAAAAGUACAGGGACAAAUAAGCCAAGGCAAGCCAUCUUUUGAUCUCUUGCUAUUUAUCCUUCUUGUUGUGCUCAUUGCUCCAUUAUACACUUGGUUCCUUGUAUCAUAUGUGAUUUUUGGUCCUCUACUCUAUGCAUGCUUAUUCCCAAAGUAUGUUG